CACUGAUUUAUUCUUUAGUUAUGCUCUCUUUUUUCUCUCUCCCGUUAUAUCUAUAUUCAACUACAUUUAGUUCCUAUGGAUUUGUUGUUGUUUCAAUUGCAUAAAUUAGGGUUUUGAUUUUGGUCUAAUAUCCGUGAGAAUCUUUUAGGAAGACAAAAGAUUAUUGUGAAACAGAAAUGAGAAUCUAAAAUGUCGUAUUUUUAUGAAAUUUCCUGAGUAUUUGAAUCUUUUCUUAACUUAUUUUUCACAUGCAUAUCUUUAUUGACUGUUUUUGUGUCAAUUUUAUAGUCGUCAAUGGUAAUAAGAAAAACUCAAAGAGAAUAGAGGAAGGAAAUGUCAACUACAUUCCUAAAGAGAUAUUUUUCUUCUUGAUGUUUCAAUUAUAAUUCAACUGGAGGAUCUUUAGGAGUUGCCAUGGUUAAGACAAUAGUUGUCAAAAUAUAGUGACAGGUUUCUACUCAAUCAAGGUCUAUCGAAGGUACAGAUGCAGAGUUAAACUAGCCCUUUUAUGAGUUUGUGGCAUGUUCUCUACAUCUUGCAAAAUGGACGGUGUGAGAUAUCU